GACACAGAGGUGACUGCUGCUCUACCGGAACAUUUGUUCCCUUGAGAACUUUCCUUUGGAGUUCUGGGUUUACGAUGCAGCGUUCUCAACACUGGACUUCCCCGAGUGGAUUGCCAUGUCUGUCUCCCAUUCAGGCAGCUUUCUGUAUUUUUAAGCCACGCCACAGUGAGCUAAUAGGCUCGGCUCCACGCGUGUCAGCCGAGGACGAGGAGGGUGAUGCAGUUUCGGCGGUCAGCUCGGUGGAUAGCGGCCACUGGCUACAUUUUCACGCUGGGUUACAGUGUGCCCAGGCAUCAGUUCACCUAACUGGACUUAGGCGGAAACCUAACUAUCUGGAGAAAAUAUGGUUCACUGAAGUCUUCUGAAGCUUUUCCUGAGCACAUCCACUUAACACAUGUGCUUCCAGCAGCCAGUCAAUAUCAGACGUAGGCUGGAGGCACACCUACAUCUGCCCGACUGAGACAAAGACCCCUCUCUUUGCACGGAGGACUUGGGAGUGCCUGACUAGAAUAGUAAGUCGGCCACACCUAUAUGACAGAUGAGUGCAAUUUUGUACGGCCCUUUAUGACUCUUUAAAUGCAUGCUGCCAGGAUGGAGCAUUAACUCCAGCCACCUUGAAAUGCCCAGCCACAGUAAUAAUGUGUGAUUUGCUACUUCAAUUAUUCUUACACGGGCACCGUAGGACAUUCUUCUCUUGAGUACUAAGCGCUGCAUUUGACGACCACUAGAUGGCAGCCUUGUGGAUUUUCAUAAACACUUUCAUUCUUCUACAGCAUUGGUAAAUGCACCAUUGUUUGUUGGAGCUCAAUAUUAAUUUUGAGACUAACUGCCUUCAUAGGAGCACUGACACGUAAUACCACAGCAGCAAGUGCUUCCUAUCAGAUAGACAAUCUCAGGCUACUGACUCAACAACAUCAACUCUUUCCAUAGGAACGCAAUUACAAUAAUCAAAAUAUUGCUGCAAAUUUUUCAAGUGAAAGUUCAAACAUUCUUCCAAGUACAUGUUCCAUGUACAACAUUCUUGAUCUUUGUUAUAUCUUAGAUUUUCUGUUAAAAUCUGCUAACUAAAUAAUUUAAAUGAAGAAUUUAUGCACUUUACUUAAUGCCAUGUUUUUAGUAAUUUAUUAACACUCAUAACAAACAGUAUUGCAUUCAUAAAGCGUUAUAAACAUGGCUAUAAAUUCAUAGGACAUUCAUAAGCAGCAUGCAAGUACACCUUAACAGGUGCACAUCCCUUAACAGCUUUAAUAACAUUACAUGAUUAUACAAUUAUAAUGUUUGUCAUUAUUAUACAAUGUUUGUUAUUAAUAUAUAUUAUAGCUGUUAAGGGCUGUUAGGAUGUUAGGCAUGCAUAUGUGAUGUUUAUUAAUUUUUUAUGAAUGCUUAAUGAAUACAUUAUGAAAGUGCACUGAACGUUUUAUGAAUGCAAUAUAAAAGCAUUAUGAAGGUGCAGGUAAUGUAAAGCGUUACCAAAUAUUUAUGCUUAUGUCCAUUGC